AGUCACUACUACUGUAAGUCGCUCUGGAUAACAGCAUCUGCUAAAUGACUCAAA
rfam:Salmo salar isolate Sally breed double haploid chromosome ssa13, whole genome shotgun sequence.